rnacentral:rRNA from 1 species
UCGGGAAUUUUGGGCAAUGGGCGAAAGCCUGACCCAGCAACGCCGCGUGAGGGAUGAAGUAUUUCGGUAUGUAAACCUCGAAAGAAUGGGAAGAAUAAAUGACGGUACCAUUUAUAAGCUCCGGCUAACUACGUGCCAGCAGCCGCGGUAAUACGUAGGGAGCAAGCGUUGUUCGGAUUUACUGGGCGUAAAGGGCGCGUAGGCGGCGCGGUAAGUCACUUGUGAAAUCUCUGAGCUUAACUCAGAACGGCCAAGUGAUACUGCUGUGCUAGAGUGCGGAAGAGGCAACCGGAAUUCUUGGUGUAGCGGUGAAAUGCGUAGAUAUCAAGAGGAACACCUGAGGCGAAGGCGGGUUGCGGGGCCGACACUGACGCUGAUGCGCGAAAGCCAGGGGAGCAAACG